rnacentral:rRNA from 1 species
ACCCGCACAAGCAGCGGAGCGUGUGGUUUAAUUCGUUGCUACAGAAGAACCUUACCUGGGUUUGACAUAUAGGUUGUAGGGAACUGAAAAGGGACCGACCCUUUCGGGGGAGCCUAUACAGGUUGUUGCAUGGCUGUCGUCAGCUCGUGUCGUGAGAUGUUCGGUUAAGUCCGCUAACGAGCGCAACCCUCGUCGUAUGUUAUAUGUGUCAUACGAGACUGCCGGUAAAAAGCCGGAGGAAGGUGAGGAUGAUGUCAAGUCAGCAUGACCUUUAUAUCCAGGGCUACACACACGCUACAAUGGUCUGUACAAUGGGUAGCCAAGCCGCGAGGCGGAGCCAAUCCUGAAAGCAGGCCUCAGUUCAGAUUGCAGUCUGCAACUCGACUGCAUGAAGCCGGAGUUGCUAGUAACCGCAGGUCAGCAAUACUGCGGUGAAUACGUUCCCGGGUCUU